CCGCGCUCCCGCCCCGGGUGGAGGCUGCCGCCGGCUCCGCGCCCGACGCCGAGGCCGCGGUGGCAGCGGGGAAGGUCGGGGGGAGGGUGGUUUCCUCCCGCCCCACACCCAGUCUCGGAGCCGGAUAUAUAGAGUGUCACGUUCUGGAGCCGAAAGACGAGAGCAGUUUCCUAGUGGCUGGAGUACUUCCCGUAGCCUCGGGGAAGGACCGGGAUUUAGAGCAGCACUAGUUGAACCCCACCCCGAGCCGGAGAAGCAGGAAUCUCUUUCUGGAGCCGUAAAAGACAACAGGAAGAAUCAUGUCCAUGAUUGCAGCUUUCUAUAGUGGCAAGUCCAUUCUCAUUACUGGGGCCACAGGAUUCUUGGGCAAAGUAUUGAUGGAGAAGCUAUUUCGUACCAGCCCUGACCUGAAAGUCAUUUACAUCCUUAUGAGGCCCAAGUCUGGCCAGACACUGCAGCAGAGAGUUUUCCAAAUCCUAAAUAGUAAGCUGUUUGAAAAAGUCAAAGACGUUUGUCCAAACGUGCAUGAGAAGAUCAGAGCUAUUUAUGCGGAUCUCAAUCAGAAUGACUUAGCCAUCAGCAAGGAGGACAUGCAGGAGCUUCUCUCCUGUACAAACAUUGUCUUCCACUGUGCCGCCACUGUACGCUUUGAUGACCAUCUGAGACAUGCCGUGCAACUGAACGUCACUGCCACCCAGCAGCUCUUGCUCAUGGCCAGUCAGAUGCCAAAGCUGGAAGCCUUCAUACAUAUUUCUACUGCCUUUUCAAAUUGUAACCUGAAGCACAUCGAUGAAGUCAUCUAUCCAUGCCCUGUGGAGCCCAAAAAAAUCAUCGACUCCAUGGAGUGGUUAGACGAUGCUAUUAUUGAUGAGAUCACACCCAAGCUGAUCGGGGAUCGGCCCAACACUUACACCUACACCAAGGCCUUGGGAGAGAUGGUGGUGCAGCAGGAGAGCAGAAACCUAAACAUUGCCAUCGUAAGGCCCUCCAUUGUCGGAGCAACCUGGCAGGAGCCUUUCCCAGGUUGGGUUGAUAACCUAAAUGGACCUAGUGGGCUCAUUAUUGCGGCUGGGAAAGGGUUUCUCCGGGCAAUAAGAGGUACUCCAAAGGCUGUGGCAGAUUUAAUUCCGGUUGAUACAGUCGCCAAUCUCACCUUGGCUGUAGGAUGGUACACUGCUGUUAACAGACCUAAAUCAACGUUAAUCUACCACUGUACUUCUGGUAACUUCAAUCCCUGUUACUGGGGCAAAAUGGGAUUCCAAGUCUUGGCAGCCUUUGAAAAAAUCCCAUUUGAGAGAGCUUUUAGGAGGCCGUAUGCUGACUUCACAACCAACACCAUCACAACACAGUACUGGAAUGCAGUCAGCCACCGGGCCCCUGCCAUCAUCUAUGACUUCUACCUCCGGCUCACAGGAAGGAAACCCAGGAUGACAAAGCUCAUGAAUCGGCUUUUAAGAACCGUUUCCAUGCUGGAGUAUUUCCUUAACCGGAGUUGGGAAUGGAGCACAUACAAUACAGAGAUGCUGAUGUCCGAGCUGAGUCCCGAGGACCAAAGAGUAUUCAACUUUGACGUGCGCCAGUUGAACUGGUUGGAAUACAUUGAAAAUUAUGUUUUAGGAGUUAAGAAGUACUUAUUGAAAGAGGAUAUGGCUGGGGUUCCAAAAGCAAAGCAACACUUAAAAAGGCUCCGAAAUAUUCACUACCUCUUUAACACGGCCCUCUUGCUCAUUGCCUGGCGCCUUCUCAUUGCAAGAUCUCAGAUGGCUCGGAACGUCUGGCUCUUCAUUGUGAGCUUCUGUUAUAAAUUCCUCUCCUACUUUAGGGCAUCCGGCACACUCAAGGUUUAAGAACACUUGGCAAUCUCCUUUUACCUGGAAACUCUCAGAUACCUCUAAAACAGCAAACUGUGGUUCUCAAGAUCAGGACGUUAACAAAGAACACGUCCAGCCUCAUUACUCAUCCAAUGUGCUGUCAAGUAUUCAUCCCUAUUUCUUAACUAUGCUAUAUUCUUUCUACUGCAACGAGAGAAGGCAAGUCAUAUCCUAGCCUAUAAUUACACACAUUUUAGGAAAAAAAAUAUUUUCAGAUUGUUUCUUGGAACCAUUCUGGGGCACCCAGUACAAAGGUUUAAAAUCAAGACAACCAGAAGAACGGUUUCCACAUCCUCACAAAUGCUGUAAGAGAAAUAAUGAUCCACUGAAAAGUCUCUGCUUCCUUUUUGUGUUAUACUGUGGUGUCCUGGUUGAGGGUUAGGGAAAUUAGAAAAGUGGACUUACACUUAACAUUUUUCUUAACUAUACCCACUUCUGAAGCCUAAAAUUAACCCAGAGGUGGAAAUAAUUGUAUAUUGAUUGAGGGCUCAAGCAUAUUUGCAUUGAGACUCAGUUUAUUGUGCUUUUAAGUAAAAAUUAAUCUUCGUAAUUUCAAUUUGACAACUACUAUUUCUAAAUCUUUUCAAUCACCAAUUUUUCUCAUUACCUUCUCUCAAGAGUUUCCUUUUUGUUCAUUAAAGUCACCAAACCCCUUAUAUUUAAGCUUAUUUUGCUGAGGCCUCAAUUAGAGUGGCUAAAAUGGAGAGGAAGGUCCUAGGCUAGAAUCAUAUAAAAACCCAAUCCCCUGAUCUUUGCCAUGGAGGAAAGCAAAAUUUCAAAUAAAAUUUUAAAUGCUAGCUUUAGGCUUUUUCUACAAAGUGGGGAAGGUUACUCUUGUGUGAUCACCCGGAUUUGCUAGUAUCUCAAUCACACCAAUGGCAUAAUAUUAACUGUCCAAUAUACAACAGAAGAGGAUAGACUUCAUUAAGUGACUCUAAAUUUAGAGAAUAAGUGUUGUUUUGUCUGUUUAAAAUUAUUUUAUGUAUAAGGCAAAUGAAUUAGUAAAAACUAAUUUAUUCUCAAAUUUCUAUAAUAAUGCGAUUUAUCCCAACUUUCCUAUUUGAGAGAUCAGUGCAUGUUGGAUUGCAGUAUUUCAUGUUAAAAACCUGGAAUAUUAUUCAAAUAUAAUGUCUGGGGCAUAACUAAAAAUAAUCACAACUACUAGAAAAUUACAUGAGUAUAAAUGUCAACAACAGCAGUUAUAGUUAUGCUCACUUUCUGGAAUAAUUGGUAAAACUCAGAAAGGCACAUUCAGGUAGUUGGAAUGUACAAGGCCUUGAAGGUGGGCUUCUAGUAUUUCUUGAGAUUUUUCUGAACCCAUAAAGGGCAUUUUGGGGGAACUCUUCUGGACAAUGUCUUUCCCAACCUCAUCUAAGUUCUGGGAACUACUUUCCAGGACAGACAACUCAGCUCUGAAACAAAACACCUGGUGAUCUUUAGUUUAAGAUAUCUAUACGAUAUUUUUGAGUCAUUUUAAGAUACAAACUAUAGGUACAGUAAAAAUGAAAUGAAGACAUAAUUCAAGGAUUGGAUAAAACAUAAUAGUUCUAAAAGUUUACUAUCUUUUGAUUAUUCUGUUUCACUAAUUCAAUAAAUUCCACUAAGUAUUUGACUUUUGAUUAAAUGAGAAUUUGAAUUAAAAAUGUUUUUCUCUCUUCUAGUGUUGUGUCUUUAACUGCUGACGACUGCAGAUCUCCUCCCUCUCCCUCAGAAAAAAAUGAUAUCAUCUUCCAAAGAACCUAUCAGAUUAAUAUAAAUUAACAUAUAGGUACAUCAUGCUUCACUUUUUCUGACACCAUUCAUAGGAUUACAUUUAUAUGCUGAAGCAUGUUCUGUCUGUGGCAUUAGAGAAAUGACAGGAAUAAAGUCCUCUUGUGGAGGAUUAAGCAGUAUAAAAGUAGUUUGGAUGCCUUUUCUUUCUUUCUCUUGCCUGACUGCCCUGGCAAGGACUUCUAGUACUGUACUGAGUAACAGGUGAGAAUGAACAUUAUUGUCUUGUUCUUGAUCUUAAGAGGAAAAGCUUUCAGUUUUCCAUCACUGAGUAUUUUAGCUAAGGGACGAUAAAUAUUCAACAUAAUUUGGAGUUGCUAAAAAAAAAUUAUUUAAAUGUUUUGCUAAUUACUUGUUUUCCCGAAAAUUAGACCGGGUCUUAUAUUAAUUUUUGCUCCAAAAGACGCAUUAGGUCGUAUUUUCAGGGGAUGUCUCAUUUUUUUCAUGUACAACAAUCUAAAUUUAUUCAAAUACAGUCAUGUCAUCUUCUUCUGGAACAUCGUCAUAAUGUACUAAAUGUGUCCAUCUGGCGAUGAUCUUAACUGGGGCUUAUUUUCGGGGAAACGGUAUAAUCUUCAACUUUGUUUACAGGUUUAUAGACUUGAACCAACUGCUCAAUCUUCAUCACUCAUUCAUUUUUAAUAUGAAAAAUAUAAAAUAAACCCAAUCUCACAGUUAUUUAGCUCCAUCUGGAACAAAAGCAAAUGUAACCAAGUGAUAUUUAAAGAUAGCUAUAACUUUCCUAUAAAGAAGAAAAGCUUAAGUAUAAGGAACUGCGGCUUAUUUGGGGGUACAUGAUUGUAAAAGGACAAAGAAUGUGUUCUAUAAUGUCUCAUUUUAUUUAGAGUCCAUGUGUUCAGGACUGAGAGUGUUUUUUGUUCUCUGUUCUCUUGAAACAAAACCAAAAAAACCCUGCAAGACACCAAAAAAUCCUACUCUUAAUGCAAAGUAAUUUCAUUACUAAAGAAAUACUUCAAAAGGGGUAAAAAAACUACAUUAAGGAAAUACUUGGAUAUUAAAUCCAGGCAUUGUUCUGUAAGGUAGUGCACAAAUGGUAAUCUCUAUUUGGACACUGCUGACAAAGGGUGACUCCCUUUGGCUGGCUAAAAGUUGGCUAGAGCUCAAAACAGAAGGGGAAGCACUUAAGUACAGGGGGAUGGAGAGACAGUUAAAGGUCUUAAGGCUCAGGUUUAAGUCAUUUUAAAAAAAUCAAAACUAUGCAUCUUGAACUCAAGCUCAUGAUUCAAAAUUUUAAAUUUUGAAGUAGAAGAGUUGCAUAUAAAUUUACUUUCUUGGUAACUGAAUUACAAACCCAAGAUAGAAAAAAGACAAAAUGUGUAACACAGACAUCCUUACACCAUUAAAAAUUAGGUCUUAGUCAUUCCUUUAUAAAAUUCAAAGUUUGUAUUAAAGAUUGUAAAUUUUGUGUGCAUUCAUAAAUUAUUUAUUAUAAAAAGUCAGUGCUUUCUAUCAUAAAAUGUAUAAGUGUGAUAUUAGUCAUCUAAGUUGAAAAUCAUCUAAGUUAGAAUUUUGUAAUUCUCACUAAUAUGGAGUUAAGCUUUUCCCAAGAGGUAGUCUGAAGUGUAUAAAUACUGCAGCAGAGAAUUCACCUAAACAUGUCAUGUUUUCUUAAAGGCCAAUGUAUGCAAACAGUUUUAAAAAACUCAUUUCACAUAUUUUGAAGUCUCAACUUUUAAAAUAUUUAGGCUGAAAUAUACAUGCAGAUAUUAUGAAUACCCUAAUAAAACAAGAAGGACUGCAUAAUAAAGUUAGACAUCCUACUGGUGGCACCCCAGGCACAAGCUGAAGUGCAUCAUAGGUAGGUAGGUCAGGGCAGUGUUCUCUGCAAUGGAAAAGCAACACUUGACGAGAUCAAAACUCUUAACAAAUCUCAAUAUGCUUCACUGUCUAUCAUCCGAAGGGGGGGUCGGAAUUUUAAUGCUUUGAUUGAGAAAAUCUGACCCUGCUAUUCAAGGAAUUUCAGCUGGAAACCUUUCUAUUUAAAAUGAAAAUCAAUGGCAAAGCAGGAUUUUGCUUUGAAGAAAUUCCUUUCAUAGUUUUAAUGGGACAGAUUAAUUCCAUUAAAAUUCUUAAUGUGGUAUUUAAUAAACAUGGAAACAAUUAAAAUCACAUAUAAGUAAUUUUUAAAAUUAUUUUUAAAGAUACGUUAGUUAUAAUCCUGAGAGAAAAUAGUUCUAAAUUAUUGUGUUUCUUCCCAUU